rnacentral:rRNA from 1 species
UACGUAGGGGGCGAGCGUUGUCCGGAUUUAUUGGGCGUAAAGAGCUCGUAGGCGGUUUGGCAUGUCGGGUGUGAAAUCCCUGGGCUCAACUCAGAGAGGCCACUCGAUACUGCUAUGACUAGAGUCCGGUAGGGGACCAUGGAAUUCCUGGUGUAGCGGUGAAAUGCGCAGAUAUCAGGAGGAACACCGGUGGCGAAGGCGGUGGUCUGGGCCGGCACUGACGCUGAGGAGCGAAAGCGUGGGGAGCGAACAGG